UUUUGGGGUCUUCGAGCGGCGAACGGGUGAGUAACACGUGGGUAACCUGCCCUGGACUUUGGGAUAAGCCUUGGAAACGGGGUCUAAUACCGAAUAUGACCAUUUUGCGCAUGCUUGGUGGUGGAAAGGUUUUUCGGUCUGGGGUGGGCCCGCGGCCUAUCAGCUUGUUGGUGGGGUAGUGGCCUACCAAGGCGACGACGGGUAGCCGGCCUGAGAGGGCGACCGGCCACACUGGGACUGAGACACGGCCCAGACUCCUACGGGAGGCAGCAGUGGGGAAUAUUGCACAAUGGGCGAAAGCCUGAUGCAGCGACGCCGCGUGAGGGAUGACGGCCUUCGGGUUGUAAACCUCUUUCGGCAGGGACGAAGGGUGACUGACGGUACCUGCAGAAGAAGCACCGGCUAACUACGUGCCAGCAGCCGCGGUAAUACGUAGGGUGCGAGCGUUGUCCGGAAUUAUUGGGCGUAAAGAGCUCGUAGGCGGUUUGUUGCGUCGGCCGUGAAAACUAGCAGCUUAACUGUUGGCUUGCGGUCGAUACGGGCAGACUUGAGUUCGGUAGGGGAGACUGGAAUUCCUGGUGUAGCGGUGAAAUGCGCAGAUAUCAGGAGGAACACCGGUGGCGAAGGCGGGUCUCUGGGCCGAUACUGACGCUGAGGAGCGAAAGCGUGGGGAGCGAACAGGAUUAGAUACCCUGGUAGUCCACGCUGUAAACGUUGGGCGCUAGGUGUGGGGAGCAUUCCACGUUCUCCGUGCCGUAGCUAACGCAUUAAGCGCCCCGCCUGGGGAGUACGGCCGCAAGGCUAAAACUCAAAGGAAUUGAC
rnacentral:rRNA from 1 species